AUUGAACGCUGGCGGCAGUCCUAACACAUGCAAGUCGAACGAGUGGCGCACGAGUGAGUAAUGUCUGGAAAACUGCCCGAUGGAGGGGGAUAACUACUGGAAACGGUAGCUAAUACCGCAUACCAUCGGAUGUGCCCAGAUUGGAUUAGCUAGUAGGUGGGGUAACGGCUCACCUAGGCGACGAUCCCUAGAUGGUCUGAGAGGAUGACCAGGCAAACUGGAACGGAGACAAGGUCCAGACUCCUACGGGAGGCAUCAGUGGGGAAUAUUGAACAAUGGGCGAAAGCCUGAUGCAGCCAUGCCGCGUGUAUGAAGAAGGCCUUCGGGUUGUAAAGUACUUUCAGCGGGUAGGCGUUACCCGCAGAAGAAGCACCGGCUAACUCCGUGCCAGCAGCCGCGGUAAUUC
rnacentral:rRNA from 1 species